rnacentral:rRNA from 1 species
AACGAACGCUGGCGGCAUGCCUAACACAUGCAAGUCGAACGAGACCUUCGGGUCUAGUGGCGCACGGGUGCGUAACGCGUGGGAACCUGCCCUUAGGUUCGGAAUAACUCCCCGAAAGGGGUGCUAAUACCGGAUAAUGUCUUCGGACCAAAGAUUUAUCGCCUUUGGAUGGGCCCGCGUUGGAUUAGCUAGUUGGUAGGGUAAAAGCCUACCAAGGCGACGAUCCAUAGCUGGUCUGAGAGGAUGAUCAGCCACACUGGGACUGAGACACGGCCCAGACUCCUACGGGAGGCAGCAGUGGGGAAUAUUGGACAAUGGGCGAAAGCCUGAUCCAGCAAUGCCGCGUGAGUGAUGAAGGUCUUAGGGUUGUAAAGCUCUUUUACCCGGGAUGAUAAUGACAGUACCGGGAGAAUAAGCUCCGACUAACUCCGUG